CAGCAGCCGCGGUAAAACGUAGGGUGCAAGCGUUAAUCGGAAUUACUGGGCGUAAAGCGUGCGCAGGCGGUCCGCUAAGACAGAUGUGAAAUCCCCGGGCUUAACCUGGGAACUGCAUUUGUGACUGGCGGGCUAGAGUAUGGCAGAGGGGGGUAGAAUUCCACGUGUAGCAGUGAAAUGCGUAGAGAUGUGGAGGAAUACCGAUGGCGAAGGCAGCCCCCUGGGCCAAUACUGACGCUCAUGCACGAAAGCGUGGGGAGCAAACAGGAUUAGAUACCCGCGUAGUCCCUGUCUCUUAUAC
rnacentral:rRNA from 1 species